rnacentral:rRNA from 1 species
CCAGACUCCUACGGGAGGCAGCAGUGGGGAAUAUUGCACAAUGGGGGAAACCCUGAUCCAGCGACGCCGCGUGAGUGAAGAAGUAUUUCGGUAUGUAAAGCUCUAUCAGCAGGGAAGAAAGAAAUGACGGUACCUGAGUAAGAAGCCCCGGCUAACUACGUGCCAGCAGCCGCGGUAAUACGUAGGGGGCAAGCGUUAUCCGGAAUUACUGGGUGUAAAGGGAGCGUAGACGGUAAUGCAAGUCUGGAGUGAAAGGCGGGGGCCCAACCCCCGGACUGCUCUGGAAACUGUGUAACUGGAGUGCAGGAGAGGCAGGCGGAAUUCCUGGGGUAGCGGUGAAAUGCG